rnacentral:rRNA from 1 species
AUAGAGACUCAGAGCUGCAUAUCAAUAAGCGGAGGAAAAGAAACUAACUAAGGAUUCCCUCAGUAACGGCGAGUGAAGCGGGAAGAGCUCAAAUUUGAAAUCUUCAAGGUUCUACCUUGACGAAUUGUAGUUUAUAGAAGUGUUUUCUGUUAGUAGAGUUCGGUAAAAGUUCUUUGGAAUAGGACAUCAUAGAGGGUGAGAAUCCCGUAUUUGGAUCAUUUCUUCUAGCUUUGUGAUACACUUUCAAAGAGUCGGAUUGUUUGGGAAUGCAGUCCAAAAUGGGUGGUAAAUUUCAUCUAAAGCUAAAUAUUGGCGAGAGACCGAUAGCGAACAAGUACCGUGAGGGAAAGAUGAAAAGAACUUUGAAAAGAGAGUUAAACAGUACGUGAAAUUGUCAAAAGGGAAGCGUUUGACACCAGUGUUGUUUUUCCGAAAAUCAAUUACGAAUGUUUUAUUUUUGAGAAGUUAUGACUUCAUCGGCUUGCUUCUCUCUUUACUGAAAUUUCUUAAUGCACUUUUCGGUUAACAAGUCAACAUCAAUUUCUUUUGUUGUAAAAGGGUAUGAGGAAGGUGGCUUUCUUUUCGGAGAAAGUGUUUAUAGCCUUGUACCUCUGCAAUCGGAGAGAUUGAGGUCUGCAGCGUAGAUCCUUCGGGGUUAGAUACAUUUGUGCUAAGUUAUAGCUUUUCAUAGACAACUUGUUGACUAUGUUAGUCAUUGUAGCUUACUCGCUUAUGCUAUUUUACCUACGCUUAGGAUGUUGAAGAUAUGCGCGACACG